CAAAAAUCAGUGAAGGAUCGAGUACUUUAUUCUACUCCUUAAAAGAGAAAACUGCCCCGGCUGAAAGCAGUUUAGGACGUGUAAAGGAAAGACAAUCUGGAGAUGAACAGAAGAAAAGCUGUUCCGUGACCGAGCGUUAAUCGAGCGAAGGAGAAGAACAUUUCUCGAAUUUAGGUGGUACCGCGUGUAAUCAAAACUCGCCCUUGUA
rnacentral:ncRNA from 1 species